UGAGGAGCAACUUUCAAAGUAUGCCACAUCCCUAUAAGAUAUUCAGGGAACAUCUUCUGUGUCUGGGUUACACUUGGCCCCUCCAGUCUCUACCUCUCCUUGUUCGCUGUUGUUUGCAUUAGGAGAGAAUCUGUCCUUGAAAUUAAGCCUUCAUUGACAGUUUCUACAAAUAAAUGCCUUGGUUUGUCCACUCUAAAAUGCUGUGUUAAGUGCAGCAUUAUUGUAAUUGUUCUUUGUGUUGGAGUCACAUUCUGCCUUUGAUGAGCCAGUGCUGCUAAAAGCCAGAGUUGGCUUCGUGAAUGCUGCGGAGGUUUAAUCUGUUUUUCCAAAAAGCUGCAUCCGAGCAGGCCUAGUGUUUUAUUCACUUGAAAUAAAUAAUUUCUGUCUCUCACCAGAACAACUAAAUGGAAAGGGAAACCUCUCAAGCAAAGGUCUGCUGGUAAAAUCAAGCUGGUGCUUCAAAAUAUUUUUUGUUAAAAAAGAAAGCCCUUUCUGUUAGUGUUGUGCUGUGUGCUGUUGCAGUAAAUACUGAAUGAAAAGAAAUGAGGACACCCACGCAAGUGAGAAAAGUACUGGACUAAAACUGUGGGGAAAGGGCCACUUAGAGUAGUUUGAGUGUUAGCACACUUUCAAGAUUGUUUUCAGCGUGUAGGCCUCUUCAAUACUUUGCACAAGACACAUUUUAAUACUUUUACAGAUGGGGACUAUCACAGUGAAGACAGCAUGAUGAAACUGGGUGUGAAGCCCAAGGCCUGGCAGAAGGCUACCAGACUUCCAAUUACAAGGUUCAACAAUUGCUAUACUGAUUUCUAUAAAAAUACAAGAAAAAAAUCAACGUCACAUUCAACGUAUGUAUGAAGGGCAAUAGAAGAGGAAGGUGGCCCUCACCCUAGGCAUUAAUCACCAAGAUUUUAGGAAUCACCAUAGAGCACAGAGCAAAUACCUGGCACAGAAGAUAUGGUCAUGUAUUGCCAAAUGACAUGAAUUUUGUAUAUGAGACACCUUUGAAAAUCCUUCUACUGAUUCCAGAUGUUCUUCAGUGUUUGCUCCUGUUUUACCUCUACAUCAUAAUAAAAACCAUUCUGGAUAUUA